CAAGUCGAGCGAAUCUUGAAAAGCUUGCUUUUCUUGAUUAGCGGCGGACGGGUGAGUAACACGUGGGCAACCUGCCUGUAAGACUGGGAUAACUUCGGGAAACCGGAGCUAAUACCGGAUAAUCCUUUUCCUCACAUGAGGAAAAGCUGAAAGUCGGUUUCGGCUGACACUUACAGAUGGGCCCGCGGCGCAUUAGCUAGUUGGUGAGGUAACGGCUCACCAAGGCGACGAUGCGUAGCCGACCUGAGAGGGUGAUCGGCCACACUGGGACUGAGACACGGCCCAGACUCCUACGGGAGGCAGCAGUAGGGAAUCUUCCGCAAUGGACGAAAGUCUGACGGAGCAACGCCGCGUGAGCGAAGAAGGCCUUCGGGUCGUAAAGCUCUGUUGUUAGGGAAGAACAAGUACGAGAGUAACUGCUCGUACCUUGACGGUACCUAACCAGAAAGCCACGGCUAACUACGUGCCAGCAGCCGCGGUAAUACGUAGGUGGCAAGCGUUGUCCGGAAUUAUUGGGCGUAAAGCGCGCGCAGGCGGUUCCUUAAGUCUGAUGUGAAAGCCCCCGGCUCAACCGGGGAGGGUCAUUGGAAACUGGGGAACUUGAGUGCAGAAGAGAAGAGCGGAAUUCCACGUGUAGCGGUGAAAUGCGUAGAGAUGUGGAGGAACACCAGUGGCGAAGGCGGCUCUUUGGUCUGUAACUGACGCUGAGGCGCGAAAGCGUGGGGAGCAAACAGGAUUAGAUACCCUGGUAGUCCACGCCGUAAACGAUGAGUGCUAAGUGUUAGAGGGUUUCCGCCCUUUAGUGCUGCAGCAAACGCAUUAAGCACUCCGCUUGGGGA
rnacentral:rRNA from 1 species